rnacentral:lncRNA from 1 species
UUCCUCACAAUUCUGCAGAUGAAAUCCAACAGCAAAUGAAAGGAAACCGACUUCGAAAUUGAAGUUAAAAAACCUACUCAACACAAAUUGACUCUAUCACUGAGGUAACAUCAGUAGAAUUUCCGAGUUUAACGCAUGAAAUCAAGUAACAGAAUGAACAUGAAAUCAACUAAUUGACAUCUUGAUUCAGUUGGUUUACAAAUUAUCUAUUCAACCUAGAAAUCAAAACAGCCCAACAUAAAACAAAUAGAGCGCAGUAAAUCCCCA